GUUAAUUAAACAUGCCAACUUAUUAGAAAAAAAAGAGGAAGGAAGGAAAUUAUGUUUCACAGCGCAUCUUAUAUAAGAGAUCAGAGCAAGAAUCAAAAGGUGUUCUGUGAGAAGAAAAAUGUACAAUAAUGGAAGACAGGCACUCUCUCAGACUGUACUCAAUUAAGGUCCCAAGAGGCCUUGCCAUUCUGUUGUUACAUCUUUGACUGUUUCUGCUGUCAUGUAAGAAAAUCCAGCUGGACUACCUAAUGAAGAAACUGCAUGAUGAAAGCGGCUCACACAACAGCCAUCACCGAGGCACCAGACAGGAAUCCAGAAGUUUCUGCCAAAACCCACAGGGAGCAUGGAAGAUAGCUGAGGAGAGAGUCAGAGGCUUGCACUGAAGAGGCAGUGGCCAAGUGGCAUAAAGGAAGCUGAACCCACCACAUCAGAGACACCUGGCCCAGGGAGGUAGGCUGAGGCACAGGAGAGCUGCAGUGUCUCUCUCAAAGGGCCUUCCAUCCUAAAGAAAAUACUUCUGAACAAGGAUGUGCGUGUAUUUCCCGCCAUAUGUGGCACUAUGUAUUAUCUCUAUCUCAAAAUCAAUCAUUUCAUAUGUUUUAAUAAAAUUAUACAGUGAUUUAAUCACAACUGUAAAAUGUGUUAAUAAAAGAUAAUUGUAUACAUACAUUUUAAUGCACAAAUUAAAUUUCUGUAAAGGGAACUUUACUAACUGUGACAGUAGUCAAAGUUUAAUGUCCCAUGAAAAGGUUAAGAAUGUCAGGUUGGUUUUCACAGAAUAUUAACCUAUUGUACCAGAAAAUUAAAAUAAGAGAAAGAAUUAAAUAAAUAAGCUCACUAAUGGUA
rnacentral:lncRNA from 10 species